GACGGGGGGGCAAGUGUUGUCCGGAAUUAUUGGGCGUAAAGAGCGUGUAGGCGGUCCGGUAAGUCAGCUGUGAAAGUCAAGGGCUCAACCCUUGAAAGCCGGUUGAUACUGUCGGGCUAGAGUCCGGAAGAGGCGAGUGGAAUCCCCGGUGUAGCGGUGAAAUGCGCAGAUAUCGGGAGGAACACCAAUGGCGGAGGCAGCUCGCUGGGACGGUACUGACGCUGAGACGCGAAAGCGUGGGGAGCAAACAGG
rnacentral:rRNA from 1 species